ensembl:rRNA 5S_rRNA 5S ribosomal RNA
GUCUACGGCCAUACCACCCCUGAACACGCCCGAUCUCGUCUGAUCUUGGAAGAAAGUGAGAGAGGAGGGGGAAAUAGAGAGGGAGAGAGACAUCUGCAGCCCUGCUUCACCACUCAUGAAGCCUUACCCCUGCAGAUG